AUUUUGCCCUAUUAUCAAUUUCACUCCUCUCUUUACUCUCUCCCCUCUCACAAGAACCACCCGUCGCCCCUAUUCCGUCGGCCAGAAAUCGCCACCACGGGCGGACGACCUCCAAUCGACCCCAUUUUUUCACCAUCUCUUUGUCUCUUCCUCUUCUUUCCAUAUCCAAAUCCCAAAUCCCCGAAAUCCUCACCAAACUCCACAAAUCUAGCCAAAUCCGAAACCCUAGCCACCCAAAUUUUCCUCUUUUCUUUCUCGAACUAGUGACAAAUACGACCACCCAACCCCACAAAACCUAUAUGAACGUGUAGAUCUCAAAGAGAUCUACAAUUUCCCUAUAAUCUCACCCCAAAAAAAAUGCACCGCCGCCGACCAGCCACCUCACCGUCCCGCCACUAGUGCCCUACUACUGCCUUAUUCUGUAAGCUGAUUUGAUCCGAAGACUCACGUUUCCUUCUAGCAUGACGCCAGAACUUAUUUGUUUAGGCGUCUACUAAAAGGAAACUUGUGUUUUGGGGUCGGGCAGUCAUUGGUCAACAUCCUCGGCAUCUUCUUAUUGUGCGAUUUGGCCUCGAAUGUCCCUGAGUUUUGGUAACACCUCUUUCCUUUUUCUGAUUUCGUCCUUGUAAUUAUUAUUAGGUUUAGAGUUUAAUUUGCAUUCACUUUUAAGUUAUUCGUAUAAAUUUGGGCAGUGAUUCUGUUGAGUUACUAUUGUUUUCAUAUUUUGUAUGUCACUUCCAAUAAACCUUUUAGUUGCUCGUAGUGAUUAGUUUAGAUGUAUCAUAUGACACUGAGAUCAAUUAUUUUGCUUCUUGACUGAUUAGUCAUUUAGUUUGGUUACAUUGAUCUGAUUCAUAUGUGAUAUUUUUGAGUUCUUUGUGUUAGUUUAUUUUUAUCAAUUUAGUUUUGUUGAUUAAUUGUUGGUCAGUUCAGAAUCAAUCAUGUUUAGUUAUCAUGUUUCGUUAUGCUUCCGAACUUUAACUGAAGUUUCAAAGUCUUUGGACUCUAACUGGAACCUGAAUCCUUCCUUUAGGUUUCUGAUUUUUGUUGCCUACUACUUUAUUGUAGUUAUUGUAGUAGUGUAAGUUCUGUUAGUGGUCAAUUUUAGUUCGUUUUCUGCCUAGUUUUCAAUUUCGUCUUCACUUAGUCAAAACUGUUUCACUAAGUUGUUUUCUCUGUUAACAUGUGUCUUGCUUGGUUUUGUUUUAGUAAUUAGGUUUUAAGUUCUCUUGAUUGAUUAAUGGUUCAGUGUUAAGUUUUAGUUAUAUGUUUGUGGUAUAUUAACUAAGUUCUAGUUACUUGUCUUUAGUUUUGGUUUGAAGCAAACAACGUCUGGUAUUGAUUGUUGAAAAGCUGAAGAGUAAAUAUGUUUGAUCAUGAGAGUAGGGUACUUGUUUUGCUGCUUUUUAUUGUUUAAAGACUGUUGGGAGUAUACAGCUCCUAAUACUAUUCACAGUUGGUAAAAAAAUGAUCGUUUGGACAGAUUUUUGAACCAAAAGUCUGUCCUUUGAAUAGUUAGAGCAGAUUUUUGGUGAGAAAUAUGUCCUAUGGACAGAUUUUCAAUCAUGAAUGCAUUGCCUCUUCUCUUAUAAAAGACUGAACAUUCUUAUUUACAUAGGAAGACAUCUUGAGAAUUGAAAAACACAUCUGGCUAGACAUCUUUUACACACAAAAAGAACACAGCUUUAAGAGUAAAAGUAGGAUCUGAACACUGAAUAGUAAGCUGAAAGUGUUGAUCUUUUUGUGAGUGAUUUCUCUGUUUGCAAGACCUUUCAAAAGCCUAAGAGUGUUGAAGUUGAUUGUUGGGAUCCUUCUUCUUUAAAAGUUACUAAGUUAAGGGUUUUUCCUGGAUUGUUUUGGAUCAAAAGUUGCUGAUUUGCUGCUGUUUAUUGCUGUUUUCUAUGGUCAUUUGCUGCCGAGUUUCAUUUUCUCUGUUGCUGCAUUCUGAAAUUCUGCAAACUAGGUAUUUCUCUUAAGCUUUGCAAUGUAACCUGUGAUAAAAAGCAUGAGGAUAUGGUUGUUUGUCUUGUUAAGUUCUAAUAUUAAACAAAUGCUGUCAUUUUAAAGUUCUAAGGGCAUUGCUUUAUCUCUUUUGGGUUGUAAAUAUGCUGAGCAUGAAAAGUUUUGAUAAAGAUUUACUACUUCACUCUUAUUAUUAAUGUACUGCUACAUAGAGUUAUUGCUAUUUCUUUAAAUUCAUUGGAUGUUUGAAGCUAAAAAGAGAAAAACAAAUAUUUAGUCAAAUGAAGUAAUUUGAAGUUUGGAGAGUUGGCAUGAUGAAUGUGUUAGUUUCGCCUUAUUUGACUGAAAUUGGUCAUUAGAGAUGUGUAAGUUUAAUUAUUUUUUAGUUCUUGUUUAAGUUAGCAUUAGAUGAUGUGGUAAUACUUAAUAGAGGUAGACUUUUGUAAGCAAUAAAAAAGAAGUUGGAUUUGAAUAGAUAAGCUACAUAAAUUUAUUCAUAACUAGUCUUGUUGCCAGUAUUAGUAAAUUGGAACUACAGAUUAUUUGGCCAAAUAAAAUCAAGUUCACCAGGCCCAUGAAAAUAAUAGUUCAACUGGCCUGUUCUUUGUAAACAUUCUCUACUAGGCCCAUUUCGUGUUAAGCAUGCUAGCUGGCCCUUUCUUCUUUUUUUUUUUUUUAUAAAAAAUAAUUAUGUGGGCCCAGUAAAAUCCGAAUUUCUGGUAAAAAAUUGCACGGGGCGCUUAUUUGGUCGCCCCCAUUUAACCUAUACCCAUUUUUUUAAAAUUUUUUAACUUGUACCCACUUUUUAAAUAACUUCAACCCCAUUUCUCCUCUUCCUUCCCCUCCUUUGUUUUCUUCUUCUUUCUUCUGCUGCUGUUGGUGCAGAUUAUUUCUUCUUCGUUUUGUCUCAAUUAAUAUUCUUUUACGUAAGCAUAGUUAUGGAUUUAACUUAAUUGUUUGUUCAGAUUUUUCAUGAAGUGGAAGGAGUCAUCUAUUGAGCUCAAAAAAGGAAAGAUAUACGUACACAAACACAACUAUGACAAGUAUGCCAAGUAAUUUGUAGCAACUUUUUGCCUAAACAAAGAACCACCAUAAUUAAGGAUAAAUGACAGAUUAACUACUCUCAUCUUGGCUACAAAAAGUACAAAGAGUUAUCCAUAUGAAAUCACCAGUGAUUAUAGCUGUCUUUGCUAAGUACAGGAAAAGCAGUCAAGUGAUUAAAAAAUUCCGACUCCAGAAGAGGAGAGCC
rnacentral:lncRNA from 1 species